GAGCGAGCAGAGGCGUCCAGAGCAUGCGAGGCUCUGUGGACUUGUGCAGGCCACACAGCUCUCAAGGAUUGGACCCGGAAUUUGCUCCUGUCACACGGCCUCCUGAUCACUCACUUCCCCCACGACCUUCAAGUGCUCAGUGUGUUUUAGCUGGUAAGGAUGAAAUCUCCCUGCUUCACCAUCUGAAGGGACCCUGGAGGCUGUUCUUCAGCACACAGCUCAGGUUCCUGGAUGCCCCACAAGAAGAUGAAGAGGACCAGGAAUGGCAGAAGUUCCCAGAGUCUCAUCUUAAGAAGCAGUUGUCUGGCCAGAGGCUAAGCUGGAUGGAACUGGUCAGUGACUCUGGCUUCUGCUCUGAGGCUCUGUGCCCCAACCGUCAAGGAAGCAACUCUGGACACGAGCCAGUCAUGUUCCCUCCCGGAGGCCAUCCGUGGCCUAUCUGUACCCACAGUCACACUGUGGAGGAAAGGCCUCUGACUCUCUGAUCUGGACCUCUGCAAGCUGAGGCCCAUCCCCCACUCUGCAUAUCCUCCAGGCCAGCUGAUCCACAAGCUUCUGCGGUUCCUCUGUCUUCUGUGCCCAUCUCAGUGAAGGAGCACUGUAAUUACAGGUUCUGAUGCCCAGCAGGUGGGCUGGCAUGGUACAGAGCUUUAUGGAGCGUAAGAGGGGAAGUAAGGCGGACCCUGACCAGAACUGAGUAAAUUAUUCCUGAGCACCUACCAUUUGCUGGAUGUUCUCAGAGAAAAAGAAGACAU